UACGAAGGGGGCUAGCGUUGUUCGGAAUUACUGGGUGUAAAGGGCGCGUAGGCGGUGUGUCAAGUCAGGCGUGAAAGCCCCGGGCUCAACCUGGGAACAGCGCUUGAGACUGGCACGCUCGAGUUCGGGAGAGGAUGGUGGAAUUCCCAGUGUAGAGGUGAAAUUCGUAGAUAUUGGGAAGAACACCGGUGGCGAAGGCGGCGAGCUGGCCUGUACCUGACGCUGAGGCGCGACAGCGUGGGGAGCAAACAGG
rnacentral:rRNA from 1 species